rnacentral:rRNA from 1 species
CCUACGGGAGGCAGCAGUGGGGAAUAUUGGACAAUGGGCGAAAGCCUGAUCCAGCCAUGCCGCGUGAGUGAUGAAGGCCCUAGGGUUGUAAAGCUCUUUCAACGGUGAAGAUAAUGACGGUAACCGUAGAAGAAGCCCCGGCUAACUUCGUGCCAGCAGCCGCGGUAAUACGAAGGGGGCUAGCGUUGUUCGGAAUUACUGGGCGUAAAGCGCACGUAGGCGGAUACUUAAGUCAGGGGUGAAAUCCCGGGGCUCAACCCCGGAACUGCCUUUGAUACUGGGUAUCUGGAGUCCGGAAGAGGUGAGUGGAAUUCCGAGUGUAGAGGUGAAAUUCGUAGAUAUUCGGAGGAACACCAGUGGCGAAGGCGGCUCACUGGUCCGGUACUGACGCUGAGGUGCGAAAGCGUGGGGAGCAAACAGGAUUAGAUACCCUAGUAGUC